AAAACUAGACAGUCUUUUGGGUAUGAAACCCAUUUGGGCGAGAGUAGUACUAGGAUGGGUGACCUCCUGGGAAGUCCUCGUGAAAGGGUUUC
rnacentral:rRNA from 1 species